rnacentral:misc_RNA from 1 species
GAUGAAGAACGCAGCGAAAUGCGAUACUUGGUGUGAAUUGCAGAAUCCCGUGAACCAUCGAGUCUUUGAACGCAAGUUGCGCCCGAAGCCAUUAGGCCGAGGGCACGCCUGCCUGGGCGUCACACGUCGUUGCCCCCCCAUCUACUCCUUCGGGAUUGCGGGGGGCGGAUGAUGGCCUCCCGUGCGCCUCGUCGCGCGGUUGGCAUAAAUGCCAAGUCCUCGGCGACGCACGCCACGUCAAUCGGUGGUUGCGAAACCUCGGUUGCCCGUCGUGUGCGGUCGUCGCGCAUCGAGGGCUCGAAAAAAUUGCCGGGCUCCGGCUCGGCUUUCAACGCGACCCCAGGUCAGGCGGGGUUACCCGCUGAAUUUAAGCAUAUCAAUAAGCGGAGGA